GACAGAGGCCUCGAGCGUUAGGCGGAAUCACUGGGCUUAAAGCGUGUGUAGGCGGAUCGUUAAGUACCUUGUGAAAUCCCACGGCUCGACCGUGGAACGGCUGGGUAUACUGGCGGUCUUGGGCCAUUCAGGGGCGACUGGAACAAGCGGUGGAGCGGUGAAAUGCGUAGAUAUCGCGUGGAACGCCGAAGGUGAAAACAGGUCGCUGGGGAUGUGCCGACGCUGAGACACGAAAGCCAGGGGAGCAAACGGG
rnacentral:rRNA from 1 species